CGUUAGUAGCGGCGAGCGAACGGGGACCAGGCCUGGUCUGAAAUAAAGCAAAGCAUCUGGAAAGUUGCGCCAUAGUGGGUGAUAGCCCCGUAGCUGUAAAAUGAAGACCUUUUUGAGUAGGGCGGGACACGUGAAAUCCUGUCUGAACAUGGGGGGACCACCCUCCAAGCCUAAGUACUCCUUACCGACCGAUAGUGAACUAGUACCGUG
rnacentral:rRNA from 1 species